CGUUAGCGGCGGACGGGUGAGUAACACGUGGGUAACCUACCUAUAAGACUGGAAUAACUCCGGGAAACCGGGGCUAAUGCCGGAUAACAUGUUGAACCGCAUGGUUCUACAGUGAAAGACGGUCUUGCUGUCACUUAUAGAUGGACCCGCGCCGUAUUAGCUAGUUGGUGGGGUAACGGCCUACCAAGGCGACGAUACGUAGCCGACCUGAGAGGGUGAUCGGCCACACUGGAACUGAGACACGGUCCAGACUCCUACGGGAGGCAGCAGUAGGGAAUCUUCCGCAAUGGGCGAAAGCCUGACGGAGCAACGCCGCGUGAGUGAUGAAGGUCUUCGGAUCGUAAAGCUCUGUUGUUAGGGAAGAACAAAUGUGUAAGUAACUGUGCACAUCUUGACGGUACCUAACCAGAAAGCCACGGCUAACUACGUGCCAGCAGCCGCGGUAAUACGUAGGUGGCAAGCGUUAUCCGGAAUUAUUGGGCGUAAAGCGCGCGUAGGCGGUUUUUUAAGUCUGAUGUGAAAGCCCACGGCUCAACCGUGGAGGGUCAUUGGAAACUGGAAAACUUGAGUGCAGAAGAGGAGAGUGGAAUUCCAUGUGUAGCGGUGAAAUGCGCAGAGAUAUGGAGGAACACCAGUGGCGAAGGCGGCUUUCUGGUCUGCAACUGACGCUGAUGUGCGAAAGCGUGGGGAUCAAACAGGAUUAGAUACCCUGGUAGUCCACGCCGUAAACGAUGAGUGCUAAGUGUUAGGGGGUUUCCGCCCCUUAGUGCUGCAGCUAACGCAUUAAGCACUCCGCCUGGGGAGUACGGUCGCAAGACUGAAACUCAAAGGAAUUGACGGGGACCCGCAC
rnacentral:rRNA from 1 species